AAGGGCGCAAUUAAAAUAACUAUUUUAUGGGAUUACAAGUGAAUUAAAUUUCAUUUCUUCAUCCCGGGGCGUUCUAUACGAACAUGGUUCAAGCAAUUGAAUCCUCUGUUCAAGAGCGUACCUUGAGCAUACAUGCUGUGACCCGAAAGAUGGUGAACUAUACCUGAUCAGAUCGAAGCCAGGAGAAAUUCUGGUGGAGGAUCGAAACAGUUCUGACGUGCAAAUCGAUUGUCAGAAUUGGGUAUAGGGGCGAAAGACCAAUCGAACCAUCUAGUAGCUGGUUCCCUCCGAAGUUUCCCUCAGGAUAGCUGGCGCAAAGAAUUAUAUUGUAUAUAAUCUUAUCUGGUAAAGCGAAUGAUUAGAGGCCUUGGGGCCGAAACGACCUCAACCUAUUCUCAAACUUUAAAUGGGUAAGAACCUCAUCUUUCUUGAUCUGAAGAUAUUGGGGUUUAGAUAUAUUGUGCCCAGUGGGCCACUUUUGGUAAGCAGAACUGGCGCUGUGGGAUGAACCAAACAUGAUGUUACGGCGCCUAAAUUAAUGACUCAUAUUGAUACCAUGAAAGGCGUUGGUUGCUUAAAACAGCAGGACGGUGGACAUGGAAGUCGUAAUCCGCUAAGGAGUGUGUAACAACUCACCUGCCGAAGCAACUAGCCCUUAAAAUGGAUGGCGCUCAAGUCAUAUGCCUAUACAUCAUCGCUAGAAUAAAAAUUGUUGGCCAUUCGGUCAUCAUUGUGAAAUUCUAGUGAGUAGGAGGGUACAAUGGUGUGCGCAGAAGUGUUUGGCGUGAGCCUGCAUGAAGCCGCCAUUGGCACAGAUCUUGGUGGUAGUAGCAAAUAAUCGAAUGAGAUCUUGGAGGACUGAAGUGGAGAAGGGUUUCGUGUGAACAGUGGUUGAUCACGAGUUAGUCGGUCCUAAGCUUUAUGCGAAAGCUGUUUAAUUUAUGUUACACACAAAAUUUUUGUUGUACAUAAUUCAAUAAAAGCGAAAGGGAAUACGGUUCCAAUUCCGUAACCUGUUGAGUAUACGUUUGUUUAUUAAAAAUGGGUCUUAUUACACUCAUCCUGGCAACAGGAACGACCAUAGAGAAGCCUUCGAGAGAUACUGGAAGAGUUUUCUUUUCUGCUAAACAAGCGUACCACCAUGGAAGUCUUUUAUAGAGAGAUAUGGUGGAUGGCUUGGAAGAGCAUGACAUUUACUGUUGUGUCAGUAUUUUCUCCUUGGACCUUGAAAAUCUAUGGUGGGGCCACGCAAACUUCUCAACAGACCGUACCGAUAUCCGCAG
rnacentral:rRNA from 1 species